AAUUAGCCCCGAUUGAAGUGGAAAUCCUGUCAUUGCUUUUUAGCAAAUGUAAUGAGAUUGCUUCGUACCUAGCAAUGACAGAUUGUAACGAAAAGCGGGAAAAUGG
rnacentral:sRNA from 1 species